rnacentral:sRNA from 10 species
GGCAGCCUCGGUAGAGCGAUCCGAGAGCUGACAGAGCCUGUCUCCUGCGUGAGCGAUCGCGGGAGACACUGUUCUGUGUCACAAACCUGAAAAGAGUUAGUGCUUUUGUUGCGCAGCUCCGUAUCGGGACGAGCUUGCAUUUGCAGACACCGCAUCGCUCGGGAAGAGCAAGCUCUUCUCGCGGUCUCUGUAGCCCUU